AUUGAACGCUGGCGGCAGGCCUAACACAUGCAAGUCGAGCGGAUGAAGGGAGCUUGCUCCUGGAUUCAGCGGCGGACGGGUGAGUAAUGCCUAGGAAUCUGCCUGGUAGUGGGGGAUAACGUCCGGAAACGGGCGCUAAUACCGCAUACGUCCUGAGGGAGAAAGUGGGGGAUCUUCGGACCUCACGCUAUCAGAUGAGCCUAGGUCGGAUUAGCUAGUUGGUGGGGUAAAGGCCUACCAAGGCGACGAUCCGUAACUGGACUGAGAGGAUGAUCAGUCACACUGGAACUGAGACACGGUCCAGACUCCUACGGGAGGCAGCAGUGGGGAAUAUUGGACAAUGGGCGAAAGCCUGAUCCAGCCAUGCCGCGUGUGUGAAGAAGGUCUUCGGAUUGUAAAGCACUUUAAGUCGGGAGGAAGGGCAGUAAGUUAAUACCUUGCUGUUUUGACGUUACCAACAGAAUAAGCACCGGCUAACUUCGUG
rnacentral:rRNA from 1 species